CUGCAGGACGAGUUUAUCGAAAAUCGGCCUGCAGCGGGGUACUGGAUCGCCACCGCUAUCAAAGCGGAAGGCACAGUCUCCGCCAAAUCCAGCGUUUUCCCGUUCGUCCGCUACGCGUCCUCCGGCCCCACCUCACAACCGCCGCGCUGUCGUGGCCCUCUCGUGCCUCCGCCGUGUCGCGUCUCCCCCGUGCCGCGCCUCCGCCGUUCGCAGCUCCUCGCCCUGGCAGCCCGCCGUUCGUCGCCCGCGCCCGGCCGCUGCAGCCCCUCACCCCAGAUCAGGCCUGCUGCUGUUGCCGCGGGUGCUGCCCCUCCGUAGCCUGUCGCUGGGGACGGGGUCUCCGCGCGCCGCCGCGGGUCCUGCCCCUCCGCGGCCGCGAGGACUGCCGCCGGGGGGCGGGGCCCCUGCUCCUCCGCCGCGGGAGAGGGAGAGGCGCGCGAAAGGGAAGGAAGCGGGAGGGCCGCGCGCGCCUGGCCAUGGCCGCCUCCGGGAGCCGCUGCCGCGUCCGGCCCGCCUCGCUGCCGCACCUCCGGGAGCUUGCGCCGCGCCGGCCUCGCCCCGCCGCCCACGCUGGCCUCCGCGAGCUCCCCUCGCGCCGCCGGUCCCCGACCCGCCCCUCGCGCUGGCCUCCGCGAGCUGCUCCGCCCCGUCGCGCCGAGCUGGCCGUCGCAGGGGAGGGCUGCCGCGCCGCGUAGGGGAGGGCCUGGGAGGAGAAGCCGCGCCCCGCCACACCCCGUCGGCGUCCUCGUGCACGGCGGCGGCGUGCGUAUCGUCGUGCAGGACGUUCCAGGCGAGGUCGACGACGAUGAGCCCCUUGCUACAAGCCGCCAUCGGGCGACCGACGCACGACCAAGGUUUUCGACCGGCUCAGCACGCCCCUGGCCGAGAAGCAAAGCAGUGUCGUGAAGCUGUCCCAAGAGCUGCAGGCGCUACUCGCCGCGGUCCAGGAGAAGCUCGUGAAGACCAAGGAUCAGCUGGCGGAGAAGGAGACGCACUGGCGGAGGAAGCAGGGGAGGCCGGAGGCCGGCGGCACGGGAGGCGUGGGGAGAGAGAAAGACAGAGAAUGGGAGGGAGGGGGUAAAAAAAUCUAACACGUGGGUUCUACGGGUGGUAGUUGGUAUAUCGGUGCGGUUGGUAUAUCGGUGCGGUAGAACUGGAUGUAAAAGAGAAAAUUUCAUUGAGCAAGAUGGAAUAUUUUUUAAUCUAGAGUACAACAAAUGCGGACAGCCUCAAGCGGAGGGCAAGGUGGCCAGGGGCGGGCUCCACAUGUAUUCAUAGGUAUUUAGUUGAAUACCCAAAAUUUUUGGCAAAAAAAUUUAUAGAUAUAGUGUAUAACA